CGGCGAGUGAAGCGGCAACAGCUCAAAUUUGAAAUCUGGCGCAAGCCCGAGUUGUAAUUUGUAGAGGAUGCUUCUGGGUAGCGGCCGUUCUAAGUUCCUUGGAACAGGACGUCAUAGAGGGUGAGAAUCCCGUAUGUGACCGGCGCGCACCCUCCACGUAGCUCCUUCGACGAGUCGAGUUGUUUGGGAAUGCAGCUCUAAAUGGGAGGUAAAUUUCUUCUAAAGCUAAAUACCGGCCAGAGACCGAUAGCGCACAAGUAGAGUGAUCGAAAGAUGAAAAGCACUUUGGAAAGAGAGUUAAAAAGCACGUGAAAUUGUUGAAAGGGAAGCGCUCGCAACCAGACUUCGUGGCGGUGUUCCGCCGGUCUUUUGACCGGUCCACUCGCCGCCGCGAGGCCAACAUCGUCUGGGGCCGCCGGAUAAGACCGCAGGAAUGUGGCUCCCUCGGGAGUGUUAUAGCCUACGGUGAUGCGGCGUGCCCCGGGCGAGGUCCGCGCUUCGGCAAGGAUGUUGGCGUAAUGGUUGCCAGCGGCCCGUCUUGAAACACGGACCAAGGAGUCUAACAUCUAUGCGAGUGUUCGGGUGUCAAACCCCUACGCGUAAUGAAAGUGAACGGAGGUGGGAGCUUCGGCGCACCAUCGACCGAUCCUGAUGUCCUCGGAUGGAUUUGAGUAAGAGCAUAGCUGUUGGGACCCGAAAGAUGGUGAACUAUGCCUGAAUAGGGUGAAGCCAGAGGAAACUCUGGUGGAGGCUCGCAGCGGUUCUGACGUGCAAAUCGAUCGUCAAAUUUGGGUAUAGGGGCGAAAGACAAUCGA
rnacentral:rRNA from 1 species